CAGCAGCCACGGUAAUACGUAGGGUGCAAGCGUUAAUCGGAAUUACUGGGCGUAAAGCGUGCGCAGGCGGGUUGUUAAGACAGAUGUGAAAUCCCCGGGCUUAACCUGGGAACUGCAUUUGUGACUGGCAAGCUAGAGUAUGGCAGAGGGGGGUGGAAUUCCGCGUGUAGCAGUGAAAUGCGUAGAUAUGCGGAGGAACACCGAUGGCGAAGGCAGCCCCCUGGGCCAAUACUGACGCUCAUGCACGAAAGCGUGGGGAGCAAACAGGAUUAGAUACCCGCGUAGUCCCUGUCUCUUAUAC
rnacentral:rRNA from 1 species